rnacentral:snRNA from 1 species
GGAUGUGAGGGCAAUCUGGCUGCCACAUCUGUCACCUUACUGACCCCCAGGGUUGAUUCGGUUGAUCUGGCUGACUAGGCCAGUGUCCCCUUCCUCCCCCAGUGCUCUAUGUAGGUCCCUCUCAAAGCUGCACACUCAGUCAAAGAGGACGGCCAUCGGUACCAGAGGAGGACCGUUCUUCGGUCAAGGGUGUAGAUUAGUGGCAUUGCCCUGCUAAAACCACCAAAAAGUUCUCAAGGUCAAAUGUCAUUUGCUGAUAUGUAACCACUUGAAACAGGCU